rnacentral:rRNA from 1 species
UACAGAGGUCUCAAGCGUUGUUCGGAUUCAUUGGGCGUAAAGGGUGCGUAGGCGGCGCGGUAAGUCGGGUGUGAAAUCUCGGGGCUUAACUCCGAAACUGCAUUCGAUACUGCCGUGCUUGAGGACUGGAGAGGAGACUGGAAUUUACGGUGUAGCGGUGAAAUGCGUAGAUAUCGGGAGGAACACCAAUGGCGAAGGCAGCUCGCUGGGACGGUACUGACGCUGAGACGCGAAAGCGUGGGGAGCAAACAGG